rnacentral:sRNA from 1 species
AAGAAUUAACAUAUGUCACGAUCAUCACGUGAGUUACUAACUUUGAAAAUCAAGUUUUAUACAAUACUAGAUAAGGCCCGUCUAUUUAGGCGGGUGUACCUGAAAUUUUUAAAUACUUGAACGGGUCUAAACUUCAAAAUCUAAAAAACUCGAACCAGAACCUGAAUAAGUAUCCAAACAUAUCUCAAAUAUAAAUAUAUAUUAGUUACAUUUAUACUUAUAUAUAGAAA